GACGCUCUAACGGGGUGCCAUGAAGAUGGCUGAGAGGUUUUCCAUCUGGAAGCCAACCCGCGGAACCUGAUCCGGUUAACACCGGCGGAGGGAUUAGACCGUUCAAAUCG
rnacentral:ncRNA from 2 species